CCAACAGGCUGCUCAUAGAGAUUACUGUGAAAACAUCAUAUGAGUCCCUGGAGAAGCUGGAGGAGAUAUCUCACCCAGCUCAGCUGCAAUUCAACGGACCUGGUAGCUGGCUUCCCAGGGCCUCGGGCUCAGGUCUCUCAAAAGGAUGGGAAAGGACAUUCCUGGUGAAGUUAGAAGGAGCAAAAUCCCUUCAGCAUUUCCAUAAUCCUGCCCUUCCAAGGGAGUGACUUGGGUCACCUUCAGCUUCUGCUUGCUCUGUAGUGUGAAGAAGAAAGGGUCAUUUAUCCAUGGAAAAGGACCUGGAAGAAAAGCAAGGUUUUAAAGAGCACUUGUGUA